GACGAACGCUGGCGGCGUGCUUAACACAUGCAAGUCGAACGGAAAGGCCUCUUUCGGGGGGUACUCGAGUGGCGAACGGGUGAGUAACACGUGAGUAACCUGCCCUUGACUUUGGGAUAACUUCAGGAAACUGGGGCUAAUACCGGAUAGGAGCUCCUGCUGCAUGGUGGGGGUUGGAAAGUUUCGGCGGCUGGGGAUGGACUCGCGGCUUAUCAGCUUGUUGGUGGGGUAGUGGCUUACCAAGGCUUUGACGGGUAGCCGGCCUGAGAGGGUGACCGGCCACAUUGGGACUGAGAGACGGCCCAGACUCCUACGGGAGGCAGCAGUGGGGAAUAUUGCACAAUGGGUGGAAGCCUGAUGCAGCAACGCCGUGUGCGGGAUGACGGCCUUCGGGUUGUAAACCGCUUUCGCUCAUGACGAAGCUUUGUGUGACGGUAGUGGGUAAAGAAGCACCGGCUAACUACGUG
rnacentral:rRNA from 1 species